UACGGAGGGUCCGAGCGUUAUCCGGAAUUAUUGGGUUUAAAGGGUCCGUAGGCGGAUGAUUAAGUCAGGGGUGAAAGUUUGCAGCUCAACUGUAAAAUUGCCUUUGAUACUGGUCAUCUUGAGUUGUAUUGAAGUAGGCGGAAUAUGUAGUGUAGCGGUGAAAUGCAUAGAUAUUACAUAGAACACCAAUUGCGAAGGCAGCUUACUAAGUACUAACUGACGCUGAUGGACGAAAGCGU
rnacentral:rRNA from 1 species